UUAAUAUUUUUAUUAAUAUUAUGUUUUAUAAUUUUUUGAUUUUUUUAAAUUGUGCGCCUUGCUUCAAAAAGGCGCGUGCCUUAGGCGCAAAAUGGUUCUUGUGCCUUUUUUGCGCCUUGCGCUUUUAAAACAUUGGGCGAGUCUCAACCCUACCCCCUCGGUAUAGGCACUCCCGUUGUCGGCUAGGUACAUCGUUGUCUUCGUUUUCUUUGUCCUUCUAACACGUUCUUUGUUGUAGAACUGGAUUGUGGCAUGAAGGACAAGUUUAUGUAGCUGGCCAGGGCGAACUCUAAGAAGGGCCCGACUGAGGGGGCCUUUGAAGAGGCCCGCUGGGAAGGAACCACCUCGGGCGAAGGCGCCGGCUGAGGCCAAGAGGAGGUCGGCCAACGCCCAAACGACCGGCCGAAGCCCCUCAAACUCAAAGGGCGAAGAGGUUGGCAAUGAGGGACUGCCUAACAGAGGGUGUUGCCAGAGGCUCUCGACAGUUGGGGCCUCACUUGUCCGACCCCUACGAAAACAUACCGUUGGCCGCACGCAGUCUCUUUCACCUUAAUUGGAAUGUUAGGGAGGGCGGCAACCUUAGCAACCUUGGUGUCGGUCGAGCCUUGGUGACAGGGAUGCUUCUGACGGGGGAUCGGCAGUCUUGGACCUAGGUCUCCAUCCAGGGGGUUCGGGACACUCUGCUGGACGGGCUGGCCAAGGCGUCUUCCUGCAUCGUCGCCCUUUGCGGCAAAGUGGAUGUCUUGUUGCAACAACUCUAGUCUUCUCAAGAGGAGAACGAACAGUUGAAGUGCCAGUUGGCCGAGGAGUGGGUUAGACGAGGCCUUUGUCGAGGUGGCUCGUGGGGAGCACGGCCGCUGAAAGAAGCUCAAGGCCGAGGUGAUGGUGAAGAGGGAGCAACUUAGGGCUGCAAGGAUCUCCUUGGAUGAGGUGGGGGAAAAGCUUAAGGAGGUGGAGCAGAAGUUGCAAGAGGCCUCGACUCAAGCUGUGGAAGAGUACAAGGGCUUUGAGGCCUACAAAGAAGAGAUGGCCCGGUUUGGUGUCGAUUCAUACUUGGAGGGCACCAAAGACACUAAUGCUCAGGUGCUGGCGCUUCUCUUAGACUUCGAUGUUAGCUAGUUGUGGGUCCAGCCUUCAGGCCAACAAGUGGCCGAGGCGACGGGGCCAGUCGAGGCGGUGGAGCUAGCCGAGGGCCAUGGCGGUGACGAGCAGCAUGCACAACCAGAGGCGACCAACGAGCGCAUCAACAUCGAGACUAUGUGAAGAUGCUUGCGUAGGGCCAAGGCUCCCUUCGUACAACUUUUUGCUUUUUUCUUUCCUUCGUACAAUGCCUUGCCUUUUUCUUUUGUCAUCUUUUUAUAAGGGGCUUGGCCUCCCCCAUUAGAGGCCGGUUUUUUGUAAAGAGCCGAGUUAAUGAAAAUAUCAAGUUUUUUGUCUAACUAGUAGUGCCUUUCUUGUUUUCUUUUUGUCUUUUUUUUUUUAAUUUAUGCAAGGGGUUGAUGCCCCCCUCGAAGAGGCAUAAGUUGUAAAAAACUUGUAAGUCCUGGCUUAGUUCCUCGCAAAGGCGUUAUCCUUAAGGUUGCUAAGCCGAGGCCGACCCUCGUCACCGAGGUCUUGGGAGGCGAUUGCCUUAGUUGGCCUGACAUUGUCUUCCUUAAGGGUUUGGAGACUGGACACGUGCAUGGCCGAGGCCCAACGAAUGGGGCUUGGCCAAGGUCGUGGAAUUUCUUUGCCUUAGUGAGAUAACAUUAAUGUUUUAUUGUGUUUGUUCGCCGGUGCUUUAUGUUGAGUGUUAGGCCGAUGCCAAAGGCCACUUGAUGGCCGAGGUCCCACAAGUUCUUGCCUUAGUUAAAAGGUGACUAGGUGUAUGACCUUCCGAGGGUCGUGUGCCUUGGGCUGACGUUCAGUCCGAGCGUUUAAUUUUGGUGAAGGUUGUAUGCUGCGGCCAGUCGUUUGGUUGAGGGGUCUUGGCGUUUGAGGGAGACAAGAACAUAUACACCAAAGUGGCCAAAGUCGAGGUGAGAGGAACUUGCACACUUUAUUAUCAAAACUUUCACUAAUCAUUUUUACAUCAUUAGUAUAUCUGGAGGUUCUUAGAGUUCCAAGUACGAGGUACUGGCCUUCCACUCAUGUAUUCCAAUUGAAAGGUGUUGAGGCCGACCACUUGCUUGACUCUGUAGGGCCCUUCCCAGUUUCGCUAAGUUUUCCAACGCCGAACUUAGACACCAUGACUUUCCUGAGGACGGGGUCACCUUCCUUGAAGUGACGCUCUCUCACCCGGGAGUUGUAGUAUCUGGCAACUCUUUGCUGAUAGGGCGUGGCCUUGAUUUGAGCAUACUCUUGGAUGCCUUCCAACAGGUCUAGAUUGUUUCUUAACUCAUCAUCGUUCUCAGCUUCAUGGAACCCAUCGGUCCGAAGCAUCGACUGGCCGAUCUUUGUUGGGAUGACAACCUCGGUCCCAUAUGUCAAGUUGAAUGGGGUCUCACCUGUGAUGGUUUGAGGUGUUGUCCUAUAGGUCCAUAAGAUGUUGUAUAGCUCAUCUUCCCAAAGUCCCUUGGCUUUGUCCAGUCUUGUCUUCAAUACCUCUAGGAUGGUUCUGUUGGUGACCUCGGCUAACCCAUUGGUUUGGGGGUAGUUGAUCGAGGUGUAUUGCUGUUUUAUUCCAGGACUUGUACACCAUUCUCUAAACCUUGCGUUGUCGAAUUGCUGGCCAUUGUCUAUGACAAGCAUGUGGGGGAUGCCAAAACGACAAAUGAUGAUUUUCUAGAAGAAGCUUUGGAUCGUCUUAGCCGUGAUGGUUGCUAAGGGCUCGGCUUCGACCCACUUACUGAAGUAGUCCAUCGUGACGAGGUAUUUCUUGUUCCUAGUGGCUUGAGGGAAUGGUCCGAGGAGAUCCAUUCCCUACUUCGCAAAGGAUCAUGGGUUGUUGAGGUUCGAGAGGGUCGUGGCAAGCCGAUGAGGGAUGUUAGAAUGUCUUUGGCAUCGAUCACAUUUUUGCACUAGCUCGGCGGCAUCCUUUUGUAUGGUCGGCCAAAAGUAUCAUUGCCUUAGUGCUUUUUGUGCUAGAGCUCUACUUUACAGGUGGUUGCCGUAGAUGCUUUCGUAGAUCUCUUAGAGUACGUACUCGCCCUACUCUCGGCGGAAGCGUCUAAGGUAAGGCAAGGUGAAGGACCUUUUGUAUUACUUGCCUUCGAGCAGGGUGUAAUGCGUUGACUGCCGUUGGACUUUCCUUGCUUCAUUCUUGUCGAAGGGCAACUGCUCGUGCUGUAGAUAGGCGAGGAUGGGAUCCAUCUAGUAGGACUAGGCUUGGACGGGGUACAACUGCUUCUCUUCAAUGCUGGGCUGUGCAAGUUUCUCAACAUGUACGGUGCGGCCAAGGGCCGACUUCGAGCUGCUUGCCAGUUAAAAUAGGGUGUCGACUCUCGCGUUCUUGGACUGUGGGACCCGAUGCAGGGCAAUGUGUUGGAAGUGGUUGGUUAGCUCCCGAACCUUAGCCAAGUACUUAGUCAUGUUUGAUUCUCUGGUUUCGUACUCCCCAUUCACUUGGUUCACAACCAGCUGUGAGUCAUUGCAAACCUCAAUGUGCUUGGCAUUGAGGUCCUUGGUGAGCUGUAGUUCGACAAGUAGGGCCUUGUACACGGCUUCUUUGUUGGGGGCAAGGAAGUCGAACCGUAGCACAUAUUCCACCUCACUGUCAUCUGAGGUGAGAAGUAUGAGGCCUGCUCUGCUUCCUUUGGCAUUGGAGGAUCCAUCCACAAUCUCCAGGUAGGCCAAGGCCUUUCAUCCUCCUCGGGGGCUUGGCCGAGGGUGCUGUUGAAGGUGCAUUCCACUAAGAAGUUUGCCAAUGCUUGUGCUUUGAUUGCGGGCCUUGGCUGGUAGCGCAAGUCAAACUCUGGCAGCUCGAUGGCCCAUUUGGUCAGCCAACCCGAGGUCUCUGGUUUGGAGAGUAUUGACUAGAGGGGUCGGCUGGUUAGUAUUGUAAUGCUAUGAGCCUGGAAGUAGGGCCUUAGCUUCCUAGCCGAGACCACCAAUGCAAAGUAUAGCUUCUCCACCUCGGAGUAUCUGGUCUCGGUGUCGCAGAGGAUCUUAUUGACAUAGUAGAUUGGACUUUGUAUUCCAUCUUCACGUACCAGAAUAGAGUUGAUGACCGCGUCCUCGAUCAAGAGGUAUGAGAGCAAGGUCUCUCUCGGGAGGGGCCACGCGAGUAGAGGAGGCGAGGCGAGGUAGGACUUCAAUUCCUCAAAGGCUUUCUGACACUCUUUAGUCCAUUGGAAGUCCUUUAGCUUCUUGAUAACUCGGAAGAAGGGUAUGCAGCGGUUGGCUGACUUUGACAUGAAUCGAUUGAGAGCUGCGACUUAGCCAAUGAGUCUCUGGGUUUCUUGAUAGACCGAGGUGGUUCCAUGCCAAGUAUGGCCUGUAUUUUCUCAGGGUUGGCCUUUAUGCCUCGUUGGGUAACCAUGAAGCCCAAAAACUUUCCCAAGGUGACGCCGAAGGCACACUUGUUAGGGUUUAGCUUCAUGUUGUAUUUUCUCAAUAUUUCAAAGGUCUUGCCGAGGUCUGUGUGUUGGCUAGCUUUCAGGUUCUUCAUCACCAUGUCGUCGACGUAGGCUUAGACGUUACUCCCCAUCUGGUCCUUGAAGACCUUGUUCACCAACUACUAGUAGGUGGCCCCGAUGUUCUUCAGUCCAAAAGGCAUCACCUUAUAGUAGUAGGUUCCCUGCUCGGUGAUGAACGAGGUCUUUUCUUUGUCGUCGGGGUGCAUUUUGAUCUAGUUGUACUCGGGAAGGCAUCCAUGAAGCUUAACAUCUCGUAUCCUGUGGUGGCAUUGACGAGGUGAUCAAUCCUUGGCAAAGGAAAGCUGUCCUUGGGGUAGGCCUUGUUGAUAUUUGUGAAGUCAAUACAUAUUUGCCACUUCCCAUUGGCUUUCUUAACCAUGACCACGUUUGACAACCAUUUAGGUUAAUGUACCACUCGUAUGAAGUUGACGUCGAGUAGCAUAUCUACCUCAUCUUCGAUGGCUUUCCAAUGCUCUGGUGCAAAGUUCCUCUUCUUUUGCUGAACUGGCCUACAACUCAGGUCCAUGCUUAGCCUAUGAGUAAUUACCGAGGGGUCAAUUCCUAGCAUGUCAGCAGUAGACUAAGCAAAGACGUUGGCGUUAGUUUUGAGGAAGCUUAUCAGUUCGGAAAGUGUGACCCGACACACAUCAUCUUCUCGGGCUCGGCCUCGUCUAGGGGAACCUAAACGAGGUUCUCGGCCGGAUGGCCUUGGCUUGCUGGUUCGUCCUUGAGGUCGAGUCCCUCCAACGGCAAAGCUUCUUUAUUCUUGCCUUUUAGUGCUGCCAUAAACCACUGUCUAGCUGCUUGUUGGUUCCCCUUGACUAUUCUUGCAAUGAAGAAGGGUCGGCCCUUCCAAUGAUGCAAUUGUAUGGGGAGCUUAUCUUCACGACCAAGAACUCGGUCAUCCUGGUGACUUGCCGAGGCUUUGUCCCUACUGUGGCUGGUUGGACGAUCUUCCCUUGUAGAUUGACGGCUGCCCCGAAGAAGUCGACUAGUGGCACGUCGACCGGCUGCAAUCGAUCCGGCAUCAACUUCAUCUUCUCAAAGGUGUCAUAGAACAGGAUGGGCUUGGGCCCCGGCUUAAUGCUGUUGCUGUUGCUGUUGCUGUGAGGACGAGGCGUCGACGUCGCCCCAACAUACUCCUUCAAGUGCCCGCGGUGGAUAAGGGACUCGAUCUCGUUUUUGAGCUCAUAACGGUCCUCUGUGUCGUGGUCGGUGCCGCGGUGGUAUUUGUAGUAUUUGUUGGGGUUACCCCUUUUGGGGUUCCUCUUCAUUUUGGCCAGCCACUUCAUGUAUUCCUCCUUCCCUACUUGCAUGAGUAUAUGCGUUCAGGUGGAGUUGAGUGGUGUAUACUUGCUAAAGGGGACGAUGGUUUCUUUUCAUUAUUGUCCUUGUUGGUGUGGCCGUGGCCUCGACCUUCUCUUUCCUUCCUCUUCUUCUUGAUAACCCCUCGGUUGGGGUCGGCCUCUAGCUCAUGGUGCUCACUAGCCUCGACUUCUUCGGCAACAAUGUAUUUUUGUGCCUUCUUCAAGAAUUUUGCCUUGUUCUUGGGCGAGUUUGGAGAUGGACCAUUUGAGGGGUUUGGGCCGGAGGCCAUUGAUAGCUGCGUGCAUGGACACCGAGGGAUCAAGGUCUCUUACUUCAAGCUCUUCCCGCUUGAAUCGGUCGAUGAUGCUUGGAGGCUUUCUCUGCGCUUUUGCUUGAUCGAUGUGAGAGAUACGACGACCUUCUGGCAUCGUCAACUGCUGAUGAAGUGGGCAAGGAAGAGGUCAGCAAAUUGGUCCUAGGAGUUGAUGGACCGAGGAGGGAGCGUAGAGAACCAUCUGCGUGCUGCUUCCUUGAAGGUGGCUUGGAAGGCUCAACCAUGAUAAGUGCUCACCUUGUGUUUUUGUCACCUAGGCUGGUGCCUUUUCACUUAGGUGGGUUCCUUGUCCCCUAGAAAGGUGCCUUUUUGAUACAAGUCAUGGUAUUCAGGUUAAGUGUCCAACCAAAGGUGCCUAGCAGCCUAGGCAACAACCUAGGUGGGUGACUAGGCAACUCCUUGACAAAAGUGAUGGUCACUUGAAAGUGUCUAAUUAAUAGAUCUCUCUAUCAGGUAUUUUUCAUUCAUCAAUUGGCCUUGUUCUAUCAUCGACCAAUUCUUGUUGGGCUGUAAAAGCUAGUAUACUUAAUCUAUACUAUGAUCCUAACCACAGUAUUAGUUUGAUUCCUAUUGGGUCAUCAAAUAGAGUUACUGACAUACUCCAAAAGAGUACCAAUUAUUUUGGAGGCUAGGAUCAUACAAAUUCUUUUUGGGUUCUGUGUGGUCAAGUUGAAGAGGAUAGCAGCCACCUGAGUUCAUUCAUUGCUCUGUUUCCUCUGUUAUUUGGGGACAUUUUCUCUCUGCCUUGGGUCUUAAUUGGGUCAUGCCGAAUUCUGUUAUAGACCUGCUAUGGAUUUGGGAUCUACAAGGUUUAUCCAAGCUGACUAAAAGUGUUUGGAGUGCCAUUCCUGCAGCAGUGAUUAGUAUUAUCUGGUCUAAAAGAAAUAGAAGGAUCUUCCAGAAUAAAGUUAAAGAUUCAGGGGAUGGAGGGGUCCUAGACCGGCUCCCCUGAACCAGUUUUGAAAAAAAAAAAAAA